UUUUUUUAAAAAAAUAAGAUCGCCGCUGACAGCGGAGGGAUCAUUACAGAACGUUUUUGUUCUCCAAUCCUUUGAGAAUUUACCUCAAAAGCGUUGUUUCGGCGGGUUUGCAGGUUGAAUUCGUUCACCGGCAAAGUCGCCUGGCCAGCGAGGCCCGCCGGCAUUCGCCAAACUCUUCAGUUUUAUAGUAGUCUUCUGAGUGGCAACCAAAAAAACAAGCAAAACUUUCAACAACGGAUCUCUUGGUUCUGGCAUCGAUGAAGAACGCAGCGAAAUGCGAUAAGUAAUGUGAAUUGCAGAAUUCAGUGAAUCAUCGAAUUCUUUGAACGCACAUUGCGCCUGGUGGUAUUCCGCCAGGCAUGCCUGUUCGAGCGUUCAUUUCUAUCCUCAGAACCCUGCCGUCUACAGGGCGGCGCGGGACUUGGUUUUGGGGCGUGCGGGGGGACAGUUGCUCCCCCGCAGCCCCCAAUUGCAUCGGCGUACCGCCGCUCGUAUUGCCUCCUUGCGUAGUGGUUUUACUUUCUCGCAUCGGGCCGUGCCCGCAGUGCCGCCGCAAACCCCCCCCAACUUACCAGUAGUUUGACCUCGAAUCAGGUAGGGUUACCCGCUGAACUUAAGCAUAUCAAUAAGCGGAGGAAAAGAAACCCAACUGGGAUUGCCCUAGUAACGGCGAGUGAAGCGGCAACAGCUCAAAUUUGAAAUCUGGCGCCUGCGCCCGAGUUGUAAUUUGCAGAGGAUGCUUCCUGCGCGGUGCCUUCCGAGUUCCCUGGAACGGGACGCCAAAGAGGGUGAGAGCCCCGUACGGUCGGCAACCAAGCUAUUGUGUGGCACCUUCGACGAGUCGAGUAGUUUGGGAAUGCUGCUCUAAAUGGGAGGUAAACUCCUUCUAAAGCUAAAUAUUGGCCAGAGACCGAUAGCGCACAAGUAGAGUGAUCGAAAGAUGAAAAGCACUUUGAAAAGAGAGUCAAACAGCCACGUGAAAUUGUUUGAAAGGGAAGCGCUUGUGACCAGACUUGGGCCUGGUAAGUUCAGCCGUCCUUCUGGGCGGUGCACUCUGCCGGUUCAGGCCAGCAUCAGUUGUUCGGUUGGGGAGAAAGACGACGGGAAUGUGGCUAGUCGGAGUGUUAUAGCCCGGCGUUUAUGCCCUCCCGGCGACUGAGGACUGCGCAUUCGCACGAUGGGGGAAUUAGGGUCACCACCUUUAAAAGAAAAAA
rnacentral:rRNA from 1 species